GACGAACGCUGGCGGCGUGCUUAACACAUGCGAGUCGAACGGAAAGGCCGUGCUUUUGUGGGCUGCUCGGGGGGCGAACGGGGGAGUAACACGUGAGUAACCUGCCCUUGACUUUGGGGUAACUUCAGGAAACUGGGGCUAAUACCGGAUAGGAGCUACUGCUGCAUGGUGGGGGUUGGAAAGUUUCGGCGGUUGGGGAUGGACUAGCGGCUUAUCGGCUUGAUGGUGUGGUAGUGGCUGACCAAGUCCUGGAGGGGUAGCCGGCCUGGGAGGGUGACCGGCCACAUCGCGCCUGAGAUACGGCCCAGCCCCGUCUCCGACGCAGGGGUGGGGAGUGUUGUACAGGGGGCUGGGGGCAGAUCUGGCCCCGCCGUGCGCGGUAAGACGUGCUGGCGUUAGUAAUCUGCAGCCGUUUGUCCCGAAGCGUGAGUGACGGUACCGGGUAAAUAAGCACCGGCUAACUACGUG
rnacentral:rRNA from 1 species